rnacentral:rRNA from 1 species
GGUCAAGCGAUUAAGCGCACACGGUGGAUGCCUAGGCAGCCAGAGGCGAUGAAAGACGUGGAAGCCUGCGAUAAGGCUCGGCGAGGUGGCAAACAACCUGUGACCCGGGCAUUUCUGAAUGGGGAAACCCACCCAGCAUAAGCUGGGUAUCCCACACUGAAUCCAUAGGUGUUGGGAGGCGAACCAGGGGAACUGAAACAUCUAAGUACCCUGAGGAAAAGAAAUCAACCGAGAUUCCCCUAGUAGCGGCGAGCGAACGGGGACCAGCCCUUAAGCGUGUGACUGAUUAGGCGAAGGCAUUGGGAAAUGCCGCCAUAGUGGGUGAUAGCCCCGUAGCCGAAAAUCUGAUCGCGUGAAAUCGAGUAGGUCGGGGCACGUGAAACCUUGACUGAAGACGGGGGGACCAUCCUCCAAGGCUAAAUACUCCUGGCUGACCGAUAGUGAACCAGUACCGUGAGGGAAAGGCGAAAAGAACCCCGGAGAGGGGAGUGAAAUAGAUCCUGAAACCGUGUGCGUACAAGCAGUGGGAGCAGACUUGUUCUGUGACCGCGUACCUUUUGUAUAAUGGGUCAGCGACUUAUAUUCAGUGGCGAGCUUAACCGAUUAGGGGAGGCGUAGGGAAACCGAGUCUUAACUGGGCGACCAGUCGCUGGAUAUAGACCCGAAACCGGGCGAUCUAUCCAUGAGCAGGUUGAAGGUUGAGUAACAUCAACUGGAGGACCGAACCAGGAUCUGUUGAAAAAGAUUUGGAUGACUUGUGGAUCGGAGUGAAAGGCUAAUCAAGCCCGGAGAUAGCUGGUUCUCCUCGAAAGCUAUUUAGGUAGCGCCUCACGUAUCACCGCCGGGGGUAGAGCACUGUUUCGGCUAGGGGGUCAUCCCGACUUACCAACCCGAGGCAAACUCCGAAUACCGGUGAGUGCGAGCGUGGGAGACACACAGCGGGUGCUAACGUCCGUUGUGAAAAGGGAAACAACCCAGACCGUCAGCUAAGGUCCCGAAAUCCUGGUUAAGUGGGAAACGAUGUGGGAAGGCUCAGACAGCUAGGAGGUUGGCUUAGAAGCAGCCAUCCUUUAAAGAAAGCGUAAUAGCUCACUAGUCGAGUCGGCCUGCGCGGAAGAUGUAACGGGGCUAAACCAGGUACCGAAGCUACGGGUGCGUUCACGUUUCGACGUGGAUGCGCGGUAGAGGAGCGUCGUGUAAGCCGAUGAAGGUGGAUUGAGAAGUCUGCUGGAGGUAUCACGAGUGCGAAUGCUGACAUGAGUAACGACAAGGGGAGUGAAAAACUCCCCCGCCGGAAGACCAAGGGUUUCUGUUCUAUGCUAAUCAGAGCAGAGUGAGUCGGCCCCUAAGGCGAGGCCGAAAGGCGUAGUCGAUGGGAAACGGGUCAAUAUUCCCGUACCUCACAUGGUUGCGAUGGGGGGACGAAGAAGGCUAAGUGAGCCAGGCGUUGGUUGUCCUGGUGAAAGUCGGUAGGCUGAGGGUUCAGGCAAAUCCGGACGCUCAAGGCCGAGAGACGAGACGAACAGACUACGGUCUGGAAGUCACUGAUGCCACGCUUCCAGGAAAAGCCUCUAAGCUUCAGAUCAUGUGGGACCGUACCCCAAACCGACACNNNNNNNNNNCCUUAAGGCCGAGAGACGAGACGAACAGACUACGGUCUGGAAGUCACUGAUGCCACGCUUCCAGGAAAAGCCUCUAAGCUUCAGAUCAUGUGGGACCGUACCCCAAACCGACACAGGUGGUCAGGUAGAGAAUACCAAGGCGCUUGAGAGAACUCGGGUGAAGGAACUAGGCAAAAUGGUGCCGUAACUUCGGGAGAAGGCACGCCGCGUUAGUGUGAAGGGACUUGCUCCCCGAGCACGAGGCGGUCGAAGAUACCAGGUGGCUGCAACUGUUUAUUAAAAACACAGCACUCUGCAAACGCGUAAGCGGACGUAUAGGGUGUGACGCCUGCCCGGUGCCGGAAGGUUAAUUGAUGGUGUUAGGCCUCGGCCGAAGCUCCUGAUCGAAGCCCCGGUAAACGGCGGCCGUAACUAUAACGGUCCUAAGGUAGCGAAAUUCCUUGUCGGGUAAGUUCCGACCUGCACGAAUGGCGUAAUGAUGGCCACGCUGUCUCCACCCGAGACUCAGUGAAAUUGAAAUCGCAGUGAAGAUGCUGUGUACCCGCGGCUAGACGGAAAGACCCCGUGAACCUUUACUAUAGCUUCACACUGGAUGCUGAUGUUGUUUGUGUAGGAUAGCUGGGAGGCUUUGAAACCCGGACGCCAGUUCGAGUGGAGCCAACCUUGAAAUACCAGCCUGACAUCAUUGGCGUUCUAACUCAGGUCCGUUAUCCGGAUCGAGGACAGUGUGUGGUGGGUAGUUUGACUGGGGCGGUCUCCUCCUAAAGCGUAACGGAGGAGCACGAAGGUACCCUCAGCACGGUUGGAAAUCGUGCAUUGAGUGCAAGAGCAUAAGGGUGCUUAACUGCGAGACAGACACGUCGAGCAGGUACGAAAGUAGGUUCUAGUGAUCCGGUGGUUCUGUAUGGAAGGGCCAUCGCUCAACGGAUAAAAGGUACUCCGGGGAUAACAGGCUGAUACCGCCCAAGAGUUCACAUCGACGGCGGUGUUUGGCACCUCGAUGUCGGCUCAUCACAUCCUGGGGCUGAAGUCGGUCCCAAGGGUAUGGCUGUUCGCCAUUUAAAGUGGUACGCGAGCUGGGUUUAGAACGUCGUGAGACAGUUCGGUCCCUAUCUGCCGUGGGCGUCGGAAGUUUGAGAAGAGCUGCUCCUAGUACGAGAGGACCGGAGUGGACGCACCUCUGGUGUUCCGGUUGUCACGCCAGUGGCAUUGCCGGGUAGCUAUGUGCGGACAGGAUAACCGCUGAAAGCAUCUAAGCGGGAAGCCCCCUUCAAGAUGAGACUUCCCUGAGGCUUUACGCCUCCUGAAGGGCCCAGCGAGACUAGCUGGUUGAUAGGCACGGUGUGGAAGCACAGCAAUGUGUUGAGCUAACGUGUACUAAUGGCCCGUGAGGCUUGACCAU